UGCUGAGUGAAGGUUUUCCCACACUCGCAGCAUCCAUACGGGCGCUACCCUCUAUGGAUUCUCUGAUGGCAAAUAAGGUGCGAGCUCUCAGUAAAGGUUUUCCCGCACUCACAGCAUCCAUAGGGUUUCUCCCCUGUGUGGAUCCUCUGAUGGCGAAUAAGAGUUGAGCGCUCAUGAAGGUUUUCCCACACUCACAGCAUCCAUACGGGCGCUACCCUCUAUGGAUUCUCUGAUGGCAAAUAAGGUGCGAGCUCUCAGUAAAGGUUUUCCCGCACUCACAGCAUCCAUAGGGUUUCUCCCCUGUGUGGAUCCUCUGAUGGCGAAUAAGAGU